AAACCAUGCACCGAAGCUGCGGCAGCGAACGUAUCACCCAAGACAACUUUACGGAGUUGACGAUUGACGGAGCGAAGCGACGUCAAAGCGUUCAUUAAAGUCGAGUUGGCUUAGGGAUACGUUCGUUGGGUAGGGGAGCGUUCUGUAAGCCUGUGAAGGUGUGUCGUGAGGCAUGCUGGAGGUAUCAGAAGUGCGAAUGCU
rnacentral:rRNA from 1 species